rnacentral:rRNA from 1 species
CCUACGGGAGGCUGCAGUCGAGAAUCAUUCACAAUGGGGGAAACUCUGAUGGUGCGACGCCGCGUGAGGGAUGAAGGUCUUCGGAUCGUAAACCUCUGUCAGCAGGGAAGAACGGUCACUGUGCUAAUCAGCAGUGAAUUGACGGUACCUGCAACGGAAGCACCGGCUAACUCCGUGCAAGCAGCCGCGGUAAUACGGAGGGUGCGAGCGUUAAUCGGAAUCACUGGGCGUAAAGCGCUCGUAGGCGGUAUGUCAAGUCAAGGGUGAAAUCCCCGGGCUCAACGUGGGAACUGCAUUUGAAACUGGCAAACUGGAGUGUGUGAGAGGAUAGUGGAAUUCCAGGUGUAGGAGUGAAAUCCGUAGAUAUCUGGAGGAACAUCAGUGGCGAAGGCGACUAUCUGGCACAUAACUGACGCUGAGGAGCGAAAGCGUGGGUAGCAAACAGGAUUAGAUACCCUAGUAGUC